CAAGUUGAAAACGUAUUUAAGACAUUAUUUUUUUGUCAAGCAUUGUGCUAAGUACUAGGGAUAGAGAUAUAAGAAAAAAAGCCGCUUGGGGCUCUCAAGGAACUUGCCUGCUAAAAGGGAUAGAGAAUAGAUAUUGGUGGGUGAUAUUUUGCUGUGAGAAGUCACAGGGAAGGAUGUUCCUCUUCCAACAGCGAAUUCUGCAGGUUCAAUCCAGACCUUCAAGAACCACAGCUUCUUGGGCCCUGCUACCCUCUGACUAUAAUCCUGCCCGUGAAAGAAGUCUUCGGGGGGUGAUGCACCUGUUUUGCUGCUGAUAUUGGCAAUGACAGAGCUAUCAUUACGAGCUUCACUGUGUAGGAGCUGAGACUAACAAGGAGCUAGUCUUGUUUCAAAGUCACACUUUGUACUCGGCUGUCUCACUCAAGCAUGAAGAAUGAUUCAUGAACAGGGAAUCGGCUGGAAAGGAUCACUGACUCCAGAACUGGCACAACGGUCCUGGGAUCAUCAAAGACAGUGUUCCAACUCUUCUGCUAUGUUGUGGAGAGAUUUCUGACCCAAAUAUCUUAGAGUUGUCUGCCAAAGGGCCUCAGUGCCAUGAUAAAUAAAGAGGUAGAAGGCCCGAGUCUGAUUCUGAAACUGAAUCAAAUACAAAUACAAC
rnacentral:lncRNA from 1 species